AGUGACAGAGUUAGGGAGGGAAGGGGUGACUAGUGACAGAGUGAGGAAUGGGGUGACUAGUGACAGAGGGGGGCUAUCGACAGAGUGAGGGAGGUGGUGACUAGUGACUAGUGAGAGUCACCACCUCCCUCACUCUGUUACUAGUCACCACCUCCCUCACUCUGUCACCAGUCAUUCCCUCACUCUGUCACUAGUCACCCCUUUGUUCCCUCACUCUGCCACUAGUCACCCCUUCCCUCACUCUGUCACCUGUCACCACCUCACUUUGUCA